GGCCAUCGUAGUCUGCAAAUUCUCGUUAGAUUCUCGUUUAUAGUGACGAGACUUUGCCGCGACUUGAAUGUGGCGGGAUUCUUGAAGAUCAACAAUUGAUGUCAAUCGAUGAAAAUGUCGAGUUGGGAUGAGUUACACUCUGCAUUUGGUGCAGAUGAAACUAUAAACUUUGGACCCCGUUAUGAGACUGGUACUGCUCUGUACCAAGUUAAUACAUUUGCGACACUAUCAUCCGGCAGCAAUGAGGAUAGUGAAUCAUAUCCUCACGUGGUGUCUGAAGAGUUGGGUGAUUUAUUUUGUGUUGCUGUCAACAACAAUUUGUUUCUCUUUGUGGACUGCCAGUUUACCACGUCUCUGAAGUUUGACGUCUUCGUUGAUGCUUUGAGAUAUUGUCCCGAUGGUUCUUUUCUGAUUGUUGGGGACAAAAAAGGUAUUAUCUACAUUGUCGACACAGACAGCUCGGAGAUCAUCUUUACAUUUAACCUUCUAGCUGGUAAGAAGAUAUCUGGAGAUCAUGCUUUUAGAAAAAUAAUAGUAAAAGAAAAUACAGACUGUCAAUGGAACCUGCUUAUUUUAUUAUCUACCGGUGAACUGUUGAUCUUUAAAGACCUCAACAAAGAUUUCUUUGCUUCUGGAGAAGACCUUGCAAGCAAACUUUACAAGAAAUUGGCUUUCCGUUCUGAAACCUCUGAAAUACAUCAAAAUGGUGCCACAGAUGUAAUUGUAGCAAAUAAGAAUAUUAUUACAGCAGGCAAUGGUACAACUGUUUUAGCCAGAUGGAUUUGGAAAGACGACAAAUUGAAAAUAACUGACGAAGUGGAAAAUGCACUGCUAAACAAUGUUGGUAUUAAGUCUAUUCAGACAACGUUGAAUGGGAAAUAUCUCUUCGUUCUUGAUAAAAAUGAAACUCUGAGCCUGUGGGAUGCCACUUCUUUGAUUCUUUUAGAAACUUUCUCAAACUUGGCUGUGAAAGGAUUCAACAUUCUUGAUACAAGUACUUUAUCAAGCUCAAGCCUCAAAAAUAUUCGACUUGUUAUACUGAAGAAAGAGAAACCCGGGGAAACGUUUCUAGAAGUACGACAGCUGCCUGAUUUUGAAUGUAUCUACCAAUUAAAACUAGGUGCAGUCGUUGAGCUCACUCAAUCAAAUCCUACCCAGGAGAAUUUGAAUAUUGUCGAAGGCUGUACAGAUCUGAUAAGUCCUGAGAGUUUUGAAUCCUUGCGAUUUCGUGUCAUAACAGAAAGUGAUGCAGAAACGCGGUUUCAGACUUUACUUCGUAAGAUGCGCUUUGAAGAAGCCAAGAAUUUUGCUGAACAGUAUGGCCUUGACAUACAGUCUCUCCACAAAGCUCAUUUAAGGCAUAUUUUAUAUAUGCUGUCUCCAUGGAGAGAAGACACUGUUGACAAUAAAAAAGAACUAACGAAUAAACUAUGGCUCCUUCUCAAGCUUGUUAAAGAUGACCAUUUUGUUGUGCAACAUUGCCUCUCUACAAGUUUGACCACUUUCUCAGACACACACAAAUUACUAGAGUACAUCAAGUUACGGUUGACCAACAAAGCAGCCAACGAAAAGACAGAAUUAGACAACACUCUCUUAAAUAAAGUGAAGCAGGUGCUCUUUCGUUUCUACACUUUCUGUUUUGCACUUGGUCGUAAAUAUUACAAAGCAGAAGUAUGGGAAGAGUUCAAGAAGGCCGAUUUCUUUCACAAAAUAAUCAACUCUUUCCGUGACAAAUUACUUCAUGUUGCAUUUACAAUUUGGAGAAGGCACCAUCAUGAAAUUGUGAAGCUGCAUUCUAUUGACUCCCUGGAACUGUUGCUAAACAGUGUACCACUCCAUGUCAGCAUCACCCAGCUGCAGGCAUGGUUACUGGAAGAUUUCAUCCCGUACGUUAUCAGACUGAUGCCACGUAGUUUGAAUGUGCUCACGUCCUGGAUCAUCCUGAAAAUAAAAAACAUGGAAAUUUAUGAGAAGGCUGAAUGGCCAUCAAAUGCUCUGUGUGUGAUGGAAACUUUCUACAAGAAGUUUACCAGUUUGUUAAACGUGUCCUCUGACCAGUACAUGUCAACACCUUCUGAGACAGCUCUAAAGACAUACACCAACGUCAGGAUAACUUUAACCCCGCUGAUCAACUUAAUCACUGUGUACCGCCAGCUGGAAAGCCUUUAUACCAAGUACAACUUUAAAAUGACAGCUGCAGGUUUUGCACAGGAAACUACUGAGUCGGUUGUCUUUCGGAUGCUGGAUCGCUUGGUGGCCAUAGAAUUGAUGGACAAAACCCUCAAGGAAGUUAUCCACCCGUAUAUAAAAGAAUACCAACUCAAUGAGGAUGACAUAUUCUGCAAAUAUAUUAGAGAUCUUCUAGAACGAACUCACUGCGUCAACUAUCUUGGCCAUGCACAUUGGGAAUCGAAAGCUUUGGCUGUCAUCGGUUAUAUUUCUGAUGUAAAAUUAAAGAUUUCUGCUGUGCUGGAAGUCAUUAAAUGGGCACCAAUUCCAUGGUCUGAUGGUAUUCGCACACUAGUAGACAAUACUACCAAACUAAGGCAACCAGAAGUAGAGUCCAUUAAAAUACAUGCCAAGCUUGUGGAGCUGAAGUUGCGUCUUGCAAGAUAUGAUCUGAAAGGAAUCGAUGUUCCCACUCCAAACACAGAAGAAGCUCUGCAAUUCGCCAAAUACAUUCUCCGCAGAGAUCUGCCUGAAAGUAUGGAUGAUGCUCUACAUAUUUUGAAACCAGCUGACAACUGUAUGAAAAGAGAGCUCUAUGUUUUCCGCUUGAGACAGUAUAUGGUGAAAGAUAAGUUGAAAGAAUGCUUUGAUCUGCUGAAGUCUCUGGAACCAGAAUUGUCCAAAUCUUGUGCUCAACGGCUCUUGGACUACUGUAUUAUUGAUUUGGAUGAAGAACCGAUUUUUGAUGAGGCGAAGACAAACCAAAGCAAAAAAUUGGCCAUUGCAACUGGAAAAUGUUUGAUUGAAUGCCUAAAACUGCUCACAACAGAUUUCCUUGAAACGGAGACUCUUGCUGAGCUUAAAAAAGAUUUCGGGCAUCUACAAUCUCUGCAAGUUGAGUUUCACUUGUAUCCCUCCUUUCACAAAUUUCAAAAGCCUCAUUUCAGAGAGAUGAUAUUGUGGGAUUACAUCAACACAACUCUACCAGAAUUUAACAUGGAACCUGAAAUGGAAUGCAGGUUGUGCAGACUUGCUGAUAUCUUGAAAAUUCCUCAAAUAGACUUCCUUUCCCAAAUGAUCAUGAAGGCAUUUCAGGGGAAAAAUAAUAAAGUCUUCCUUCACCUAUGCAAGAAACUUCUAGAGUGUGAAGUCUGUCCUAUAACAGCCGAGACCCUUUAUGAUCUGUGCAUGUACCUACUGGAAAACUUAGCUGACACUGAAUCUGAUGGAGAGGAUUUUGAAAAAGAGAAUGUGCAGGAUGAGUACAAUUUACCUGCCAUGAUUUACAGACUAAUCAGCUUAGCUCUAACUUACUGCCAUCCAACUUCUCUCACCAAAUUCGUCCACUUAGCAAAGACUGCCCGACUUGCUGCAGCAGCAAUUCAACAAACCUACAUGGUUGAGGACAUGUCUCUACCACAUGCCUUGAAUAAAGACAAUGCUGCCACCUCAGACUAUUGCAAAUGGAGUUUAAUUCCUGAGUUUAAAGAAAAUUGUUUCAUUAUGGAGUCAUCUGCCCUUGUCCCUUUGAUUGCAAAUUCUGUUCAACUUGAUCCACUUCUAAAGAAGAGAUUCAUUCCCCCUACACCUCCUGCUAGUGACACCGAGUCCGCAGAGGCUGCUGAUAAUUAUAUGAAAGAGUACUACAGUAAGGUGCUACAAGAGUAUACCAAUACAAUACCACCGUUAGUGGACUAUCUCAAACUUAACCGCAACUUGGAACUUGUCUACCAAUAUUCUAUGCAUUCCUUCUUUACUAUUGUGGAAUAUUCCGUCUGCUACACUGCUGAUGUCACGUUAAUUAAGCAGGGGAGUCAUGAUAUCAAAGACAUAAUGAUGAAAUAUCUAAACCAAAUCAAAGGCACAAGUCAACAUAAGGAAUUGGUGAUCCAUCUCCUUCAGAAGGUGUUCAGCCAACGUAAUGUGGACCACAGGUACGCUCUUGGUUUGGCCUGGAGUCUCCCGAAGAAUAUUUUGAGUGUUUUGAAGAAAAUGCGAAAAGAUUUCAAUUACCGAGGACAAAUGGCCAUGGCUAAAGUAGGAAAUGCUUUGGCUGUCCUUCACAAAGAACAUGAUGAGAUUGCAAAGUGUACAGAACUUGAAACCAGUGCGUACUGGGGGUAUCAGCUUGGAAAAUACAAGAUAUGUUUCAAAGAUGCGUUCCAUGGCCCACUAAAUGAGAAAUACAAAGUUCUACAGCAAAUGGUAGGCUGCAGUGCCAUUGAUACUGAAGUCAUCAAAAAGUUCUGCAAAGAUUUCGAAAUUGAGGAAACUGAUGGCUUGCUGUUGUCCUUGAAAUAUUUAAUCAAGAACAUUUCUGCCUCCUAUACACAGUUGUCUACCUUCAGCGCUUCCCAUCAUCACCACCAGCUGACAAGAGUGCUUAAAAUUAUACGAAGCGUGAAAUCAAAAUCAAGACUUUUUAAAGAACUCACACAAUUGAUUAAUUUGGUCAAUACGUAUGACUACGAAACUCUGUCGCUGGUUCUUGAUGAAGCCUUCAAGAUUGAGGAGAAUUCCUUCCUUGAUAAGUGUAAAAAAGUGCUGGACUGGUUGAAGAAUUACAAGAGAGCAGCUCCCAUUUCUGACUAUGAACUGCAUUUCUGCACAGAAGGAAUUCAGGAGAAUCUUCAAUAUGUUAUUGAGUGCUUACCAUCAAGCAGUGCAACAAGACUGGCCUUUCACUCCCUCUUUGGUGAACCUUGGCAUAUUAUUUCCAAGGAACUUGAUGUCAAUAACGUUCAUGAAUGGUUACUUCUGUCACACAUCCUGAAGCUCUCCCCAGAUCAAUUGCAUGCAGUUGCCCUUCAAAACACCAUCAAGGUUUAUGUGUCAUCUUUAGGGGACAGCAAAAAUGCCAAUACUCUCAAGGAGAAGAGUAGAUGGGAUCCUGAUGAAAUAAACAAAGACAUGAUGGACACAGUUAAAAAUAUUCUUACAAAAAUUCAAGACUUGGAAUCCACCUCAGCCCUAGCUACCUACAUCAUGAAAGAACUGCCUAUUGGGGCUGAGAAAGUAUUGGCUCUCAAGUUCUGUGUUUCUUUUACUGAGGAAUGGCUUCAGGCAGAAAAAGAUCCCUCAAAUUACAAGAAGGCCAAAACUGCUUACCUCAAAUUUAAGAGUCUCUAUGAAAGAUUAGCCAAUAAACAAGUGUUGUUCCUCUACAAACUGGCCACCCCUGAAUUACUUGAUUUGUGCUGUGAACCUGAGAAGUUGAUAACUGAACUCUAUCAACAUCCAUCGAUUUUGGACUCUACUUUACCUGAGCAUCUACGUCCUGAUAUCAACGGCAUGGCAGAACAGAUAGCAUCCAUCCACCAGUUGACCAUUGAAGAUCUGAAGGUCAGUUUAGUCUGUGAAUGGUUAGAAACUAACAAGACCGAAGAUGUUGAUAUGACAAUGACACUUGGUUUUGGUAACAUUCAUCUCCUGGAACACGACAACAAACAACUAGACGGUGACAAUUUUAAACGUGUUGCAUACAUCCUCAGGAGUGGAGACAUAAAGCACAAUAUAGCCUUUCUACUUGGUUACUCUGGAAAGCCUAAAAACUCAGUAUCAAUGUCAAGUGUGUGCCAACUUAAGGCCCUCCUCUGUAUGUUUGACGUGGCAUCAAUAGAGGAAAUUACCAAAACCACAUCCAUGACUCUUGAAGAGAUCAGGAGAUUAAUUCAAAACCAGCUGUAUAUUGUCAACCUGGAGAAAUUGAAUAUUGGCAUGACUCCCAAGGGUUUUGAAGACUGCAACAAGGAAAAACUUGCUAAAAGCAUUUGGAAGAAUCAGAGCAAUGGCAAAAUGGCUCAGGAAGCGGCCAUUAUAGUUAGUUCCUUGUGCUUUGAUUACAAAAUUUACAGCUUUACUAUGUGGGAAGCUAUCCUUGCCAAAAUGAAAAAUCUAAAUAUGAUGAAAGAGCUUGAAUAUAUUCUACUGCGUAUUAUUGAGAUCCCAUCACUUGAUGUGCUACCAUCGUUGCCUUCAGCCUGGCAAACCAUCAUUGUUUCCAUUUUGAAUAAAUCCUCUGUUAAUACUGAUGAGGAACGAGAUGAAUGCCUACAUGCUUUCAAUCUAAUUCAAAGAUGUCCUGAUGUCCUGUCUUUGGACCUUGAUCUACUUGCCAAGCAUUUCCACCGUUUAGGGCUUCCUGUCUGCGCCAUUUCUUGCCUCCUCAUGUCGGCUGUCCUUAACAACAAAUUACUUCAGAGCAUUCUUUCUAUUGGUGCCAAGAAGCUGUUCGAUUCUUUCCUAUUAACAAGAACCAAAUGUAUUGCUUCUGCCAUUUCUUAUGAGGUCAUGCUGUUGAUUUUCCAGUUAAUAAUGGAAGAAAACUUGAGUCACAUUGUGGAGAAGUCUCCUUAUAAAGAUGCCUAUCAUGAAUACGUCCAACUGAAUCAGAAUGGUCUGGAGAAUGGCAUAAGUCAUUGAAGGCUUUCUUGAGUGAAGUUUGUCUUGUCUCUCGUCUUUCAACAGGCGUUUGUAUGUUUUGUUAGAACAAGUGUGUUGGUGUAUGUGUAAUGUAUUUCCUAUAAGAACAAGUUGAAGAAAUUGGAUCAAAUUUGAACCAAGAAUCUCUGGUUGGUGUGCAUGUACUGAUUAUGUAUAUAUGUGUGUGUAUGUGUAUAUAUGUCAGUAUCUUUUGAACUGCUCAGUAGGGGGAACAUAAACUAACCAGCACCAAUUCUCAGUCCAUUACCAUUAAUAUUGCUGUAAUUAAGAGUUCCAAACAGUUCAUCUUCAAGGUUUGUGAUGUCAAGGGAUGAGUGAUGGGGAGAAAGUCUGAGAGAAGUAUGUGCCUUCAUAUUUGUUUUGUAUCCCCUGUCAAUUAUUCCAACAGAGAGAAAUCAAAUCUCUUAUCUUUCCUUUCCCUUUUUCUUAUCAUCUCAACCCUGAAGAGUUUCUUUGAAACAUCAGAAAUUCCAUUUUCUGAGGUAAUAUUAUUUUACUUUUCCUAUCUAUGUGUGCAUAAGCAUGUGUGUGUGUGACCCUUUCCCCCUCCCCUUCUUUAUAUUCUCAUUAUUAUAUCUGCCUGUCAAAUCUGAUUCUUGUUUCUGUAUCUGCUUGUCAGUCUCCCUUGAGCGGAAUUGUUUAAAAACCUACUUUUCUCAUUUUCCUUUGAAGAACUGUCAGAGUGAAAACUGGUUGGAAAUCAAUGUAAAAAUAUUUAAUAUAUCUGAAUAAAAUAUGAAAUCUAUUA
rnacentral:misc_RNA from 1 species